GACGAACGCUGGCGGCGUGCUUAACACAUGCAAGUCGAACGAAGUGGCGAACGGGUGAGUAACGCGUAAUCAACCUGCCCUUCAGUGGGGGACACCAGUUGGAAACGACUGCUAAUACCGCAUACUGACGGUGGGGUUUGCGUCGGAUUAGCUAGUUGGAGGGGUAACGGCCUACCAAGGCGAUGAUAAGUAGGCGGUCGUAGAGGAUGAACGGCCACAAUGGGAAUGAGACACGGCCCAGACUCCCAAGGGAGGCAGCAGUGGGGAAUGUGCCGCAAUGGACGAAAGUCGGACGGAGCAACGGCGCGGGAGUGAUGACGGCCUUCGGGUUGUAAAGCUCUGUUAAUCGGGACGCGGUACCGGAAGAGAAAGCCACGGCUAACUACGUGCCAGCAGCCGCGGUAAUAC
rnacentral:rRNA from 1 species